rnacentral:rRNA from 1 species
UACGUAGGGUGCAAGCGUUAAUCGGAAUUAUUGGGCGUAAAGCGUGCGCAGGCGGUGAUGUAAGACAGAUGUGAAAUCCCCGGGCUCAACCUGGGAACUGCAUUUGUGACUGCAUCGCUGGAGUGCGGCAGAGGGGGAUGGAAUUCCGCGUGUAGCAGUGAAAUGCGUAGAUAUGCGGAGGAACACCGAUGGCGAAGGCAAUCCCCUGGGCCUGCACUGACGCUCAUGCACGAAAGCGUGGGGAGCAAACAGG